GCACCCAUAGCUCAAUUGGAUAGAGCAUCUGACUACGGAUCAGAAGGUUCCAGGUUCGACUCCUGGUGGGUGCGCCA
rnacentral:tRNA from 1 species